rnacentral:rRNA from 8 species
UAACAAGGUCUCCGUAGGUGAACCUGCGGAGGGAUC